GUGACCCCCCCAAAAAACAAACAUAAAAAAAAUCGAAUACGUCGUUGGUUGUAUGACAGUGAGUACAAUCGAGAAACAUUAACUGAAGCUCAAGAUACGUCAGGGAGACGCAGCCAUGCUCCGAAAGCUCGAUCAUCUGCUUUUUGGGGGAGAGGAGGAUGCCUAGGAGGAACCGAGGUCUGAAGAAGUGGAAGAAGAAUGGCUUGUGGUUGAUCAUCAUGAAGACAUGAAUUCUGCAGAGAUCCCGAGCGCGGAGGCCGCCACUAUAUUAUCAGACUCUGCUCCUAAUGCAAUGACUAUUACAAAACUAGAAACCACAAGUGCAAGACCGGUUAGAGCGUCUGCCUCACAGUUCUGAGGACCGGGAUUCAAUCCCCGGCCCCACCUGUGUGGAGUUUGCAUGUUCUCCCCGUGCCUGCGUGGGUUUUCUCCAGGUACUCCGACUUCCUCCCACAUCCCAAAAUCAUGCACGGUAGGUUAAGUGAAGACUCUAAAUUGCCCGUAGGUGUAAAUGUGAGUGCGCAUGGUUAUUUGUUUAUAUGUGCCCUGCGAUUGGCUGGCGAGCAGUUCAGGCUUAACAGUCCUCUCGCCCGAAGAUAGCUGGGAUAGGCUCCAGCAUGUCCGCGACCCUAGUGAGGAUAAACGGUACGGAAAAUGAAUGAAUUAAUAAUUGUAGAACCAAGACAUCGUCACGUAAAAUCUUAUUUUGAAGCCUGCAGAAUGAGCAAUUGUACAUUGAAUUACAUUUUAUGUUUCUUUUAGUGUAACAGAUCCGGCGAGUGAGCAGUGCACAGUUAAAAGCAAAGAAACAGCUGGUCACAUUCAAGCUAUCUCAGCAUUACUUUCUUCUCCUAAAGCCCUGCAAGAGGUCACAAAGUUAACCUGCAUGCAAAAAUCCUGCACAUCCCACCACCCUGUGUCCCGAAACGCUAUUCAGCAACACAAUCGUGGUCGGCGCGGAUUCCAGCGCCAUUCCUUCCCACUCCAACAACCGGGACAUCGCACCCUCAGCCACUCAAAGCGCUGCAAGUGCAACCAGUAAAGAAUCCAUAGAUCUGAUAAUCCCCUUAGAUUUCUAUGUCUUUGUUUUACAUGCAAUGAUUCUUAUAAGACUGACAACUCCUGUACUAAUCUUGCUAUAAUUAAUUACUGCACUUGUAUUUAAAUCAAACUGGCAGCUGUAAAGGAACCUUUUUUUUUUUUAUCAUUGCAUUUUACAUUGACAAACAUUGUUUUUUAUGGAUGCAUGUCUAUACAAUUAUGUCUGUAAAAGGUUUGAUAUGUUAUACUAUUUUUUUUUUUACUAGUGCUGUAUGUAUUUGAGUACAUGCAGCAAUAAAAUACAGAAAAGUG